AUCACUUUGUACUUUUUAAGCAUGAUGAUUGGGUUUUCACACUCAUGUGGGAUGUGUCUCCCUCAAACUGUUACAUUGGCACAUUACUCAUCUGAUG
ensembl:snoRNA